GACGAACGCUGGCGGCGUGCCUAAUACAUGCAAGUAGAACGCUGAAGGAGGAGCUUGCUUCUCUGGAUGAGUUGCGAACGGGUGAGUAACGCGUAGGUAACCUGCCUGGUAGCGGGGGAUAACUAUUGGAAACGAUAGCUAAUACCGCAUAAGAGUAGAUGUUGCAUGACAUUUGCUUAAAAGGUGCAAUUGCAUCACUACCAGAUGGACCUGCGUUGUAUUAGCUAGUUGGUGGGGUAACGGCUUACCAAGGCGACGAUACAUAGCCGACCUGAGAGGGUGAUCGGCCACACUGGGACUGAGACACGGCCCAGACUCCUACGGGAGGCAGCAGUAGGGAAUCUUCGGCAAUGGACGGAAGUCUGACCGAGCAACGCCGCGUGAGUGAAGAAGGUUUUCGGAUCGUAAAGCUCUGUUGUAAGAGAAGAACGAGUGUGAGAGUGGAAAGUUCACACUGUGACGGUACCUUACCAGAAAGGGACGGCUAACUACGUG
rnacentral:rRNA from 1 species